rnacentral:misc_RNA from 1 species
GAUGAAGAACGCAGCGAAAUGCGAUAAGUAAUGUGAAUUGCAGAAUUCAGUGAAUCAUCGAAUCUUUGAACGCACAUUGCGCCCAUUAGUAUUCUAGUGGGCAUGCCUGUUCGAGCGUCAUUAAGUCCACUUAAGCCCUGCUUAGUGUUGGGAGACUGCUCCAGCGGUGCUACCCUGUAGCUACCCUGCAGCUCCUCAAAGACAGCGGCGGAGUUGUGGUAUCCUCUGAGCUUAGUAACUUGUUCUAGCUUUCGAGUACACCACUUCCCCUGCCGUAAAACCCUUAAUUUUUAAUGGUUGACCUCGGAUCAGGUAGGAAUACACGCUGAACUUAAGCAUAUCAAUAAGAGGAGGA